rnacentral:rRNA from 1 species
GACGAACGCUGGCGGCGUGCUUAACACAUGCAAGUCGAACGGAAAGGCCCUGCUUUUGUGGGGUGCUCGAGUGGCGAACGGGUGAGUAACACGUGAGUAACCUGCCCUUGACUUUGGGAUAACUUCAGGAAACUGGGGCUAAUACCGGAUAGGAGCUCCUGCUGCAUGGUGGGGGUUGGAAAGUUUCGGCGGUCGGGGAUGGACUCGCGGCUUAUCAGCUUGUUGGUGGGGUAGUGGCUUACCAAGGCUUUGACGGGUAGCCGGCCUGGGAGGGUGACCGGCCACAUUGGGACUGCGAUAGGGCCCAGACUCCAACGGGAGGCAGCGGUGGGGAAUAUUGCACAAUGGGCGGAAGCCUGAUGCAGCAACGCCGCGUGCGGGAUGACGGCCUUCGGGUUGUAAACCGCUUUCGCCUGUGACGAAGCGUGAGUGACGGUAAUGGGUAAAGAAGCACCGGCUAACUACGUG